rnacentral:rRNA from 1 species
AACGAACGCUGGCGGCAGGCCUAACACAUGCAAGUCGAACGGAUGUAGCAAUACAUUAGUGGCGCACGGGAGAGUAACACGUGGGAAUCUACCUUUUGGUUCGGAAUAACGUCGGGAAACUGACGCUAAUACCGGAUAAGCCCUACGGGGGAAAGUUUUUCGCCAAAAGAUGAGCCCGCGCUAGAUUAGCUUGUUGGUGAGGUAAUGGCUCACCAAGGCUACGAUCUAUAGCUGGUCUGAGAGGAUGACCAGCCUCACUGGGACUGAGACUCGGCCCAGACUCCUACGGGAGGCAGCAGUGGGGAAUAUUGGACAAUGGGGGAAACCCUGAUCCAGCCAUGCCGCGUGAAUGAUGAAGGCCUUCGGGUUGUAAAGUUCUUUUGGUAGGGACGAUGAUGACGGUACCUACAGAAUAAGCUCCGGCUAACUUCGUGCCAGCAGCCGCGGUAA